rnacentral:rRNA from 1 species
GACGAACGCUGGCGGCGUGCCUAAUACAUGCAAGUCGAGCGGAGCGGCGGACGGGUGAGUAAUGCCUAGGAAUCUGCCUGGUAGUGGGGGAUAAAGUCCGGAAAGGGGAGAUAAUACCGCAUACUAUCAGAUGAGCCUAGGUCGGAUUAGCUAGUUGGUGGGGGAAAGGCCUACCAAGGCGACGAUCCGUAACUGGUCUGAGAGGAUGAUCAGUCACACUGGAACUGAGACACGGUCCAGACUCCUACGGGAGGCAGCAGUGGGGAAUAUUGGACAAUGGGCGAAAGCCUGAUCCAGCCAUGCCGCGUGUGUGAAGAAGGUCUUCGGAUUGUAAAGCACUUUAAGUUGGGAGGCGUUACCAACAGAAUAAGCACCGGCUAACUUCGUGCCAGCUGCCGCGGUAAUAC